UACAGAGGUGGCAAGCGUUGUUCGGAAUUACUGGGCGUAAAGGGCGCGUAGGCGGUCUUGUAAGUCCCGUGUGAAAUCCCUCGGCUCAACUUAGGAACUGCACGGGAAACUGCUUGGCUUGAGUUCGGGAGAGGGAAGCGGAAUUCCGGGUGUAGCGGUGAAAUGCGUAGAUAUCGGGAGGAACACCUGAGGCGAAGGCGGGCUACUGGGCCGAUACUGACGCUGAGGCGCGAAAGCCAGGGGAGCAAACGGG
rnacentral:rRNA from 1 species